rnacentral:misc_RNA from 1 species
GAUGAAGAACGCAGCGAAAUGCGAUAAGUAGUGUGAAUUGCAGAAUUCAGUGAAUCAUCGAAUCUUUGAACGCACAUUGCGCCCCUUGGUAUUCCAUGGGGCAUGCCUGUUCGAGCGUCAUUUGUACCUUCAAGCUCUGCUUGGUGUUGGGUGUUUGUCUCGCCUCUGCGUGUAGACUCGCCUCAAAACAAUUGGCAGCCGGCGUAUUGACUUCGGAGCGCAGUACAUCUCGCGCUUUGCACUCAUAACGACGACGUCCAAAAGUACAUUUUUACACUCUUGACCUCGGAUCAGGUGGGGAUACCCGCUGAACUUAAGCAUAUCAAUAAGCGGAGGA